UACGUAGGGGGCAAGCGUUGUCCGGAUUUAUUGGGCGUAAAGAGCGUGUAGGCGGUUAGGUAGGUCCGUUGUGAAAACUCGAGGCUCAACCUCGAGACGCCGAUGGAAACCAUCUGACUAGAGUCCGGAAGAGGAGAGUGGAAUUCCUGGUGUAGCGGUGAAAUGCGCAGAUAUCAGGAAGAACACCUGUGGCGAAAGCGGCGCACUGGACCAUAACUGACGCUGAUGCGCGAAAGCUAGGGGAGCAAACAGG
rnacentral:rRNA from 1 species